UACGUAGGGUGCGAGCGUUGUCCGGAAUUAUUGGGCGUAAAGAGCUCGUAGGCGGUUUGUCGCGUCGAAUGUGAAAACCCGGGGCUCAACCCCGGGCCUGCAUUCGAUACGGGCAGACUAGAGUUCGGUAGGGGAGUCUGGAAUUCCUGGUGUAGCGGUGAAAUGCGCAGAUAUCAGGAGGAACACCGGUGGCGAAGGCGGGACUCUGGGCCGAUACUGACGCUGAGGAGCGAAAGCGUGGGGGAGCAAACAGG
rnacentral:rRNA from 1 species